AAGACACUAGUAAAAACCAAUUACAUUGCCUUGUCAAGGCUAAAUUGUGGGUUGAAACCCCGCGUGUCUUG
rnacentral:tRNA from 1 species